CAGGGUGUAGCUUAGUUGGUAAAGCGCACGGCUGGGGUCGUGAGAGCGGAGGUUCAAGUCCUCUCACCCUGACCA
rnacentral:tRNA from 1 species